GGCAGGCGGUGUCAGUGGGGCCACUGGGCACACGAGGCGGCUGGCGGCUUCUCAUGGUUUCUGACUUUGAGUUUAGAUCAUAAAAGUUACGCGGUAUGCAGUAGUGUGUACUUUUGUCUCUUGCUCAGAUACCUACACACGGCCAGGAUGACUAUUAGCUGGCUAAUUGGUAGGAAUCAGCAUCAGCCCACGUGGAGUCACUGACUCAAUUACUUUCCGGUAGCCAAAGGGUGAGGGGUGUAGGGGGGUGGUUUCCGAUGUGAACGGCCAAAACUGGGGAAUUGAAUGAACUGAUUCACUCCGCGGUCUGCGGCCCGGAAAACCCUCUUGGUUUGGACACCUUGCCCCGCGGCUGGUGUUUUGGCAAUUUCCCGGUGCUGUCAGGUGCCUCCGGCUCGUUCUGGGAGGCAGAGGCAAGAAAGGGGCCACCCCGCCAGCCAAGCUCAUCGAGGAAAAUGGGGGUCAGUUCAGGUUCCCGGAUUCUUGCACAGAGGAUAGUGUCCUGAGUUUUUUUUAAACACAGAACUAUUCGUUCCCAACAUCAUCAUUUAUUUUUACUCUUUAAAAAAAAAAAAAACAAAGUUCAGACAACUCUGACUGUUCAAAUAGGCAGGCGGAGGGAGGAGGAAGUCUCCCAUCUCCGCCCCGAGGUGUGGGGUGCGUAGUCUGGGGAGCAGCCAGUGCUCAGGCCGGGGGCCCCCUCUGCUGUCUCCACGCCGCCCUGCUGCGGCUUCCCGUCCUGCUUUGGUUCUGCCCCCGCGAGCUCCUGGACCGGGACCUGCGCUGAAGCUCGGAAUCACACGGUGCGAGGCAGGUUCUUGUCCUGGAGGCGUGGUCCCCGACGUGGUGGGCUGAGAGGCCGUGGAAGGGUCAGAAGUGGGUCGGUGAUGACGUCACCAGGGCAAACACUGUCCGAGGCCUGACUUGGAGCAGGUGCGCCCCCAGGGCUGGGCUGGUUACCGGGAGCCAGGUUGUCAUGAAGCCAGCUCUGCUUUGUGAGCUCGCUCUCCCGUCUCUCACCACGAGACGCGGCUCACGCACACAGGGUUCACGGCGAUCUCCCCCGUGAGCUCUCUGCCGGCGCCACGCC
rnacentral:lncRNA from 1 species